rnacentral:rRNA from 1 species
CGCUGGCGGCAUGCUUACACAUGCAAGUCGAACGGUAACAGGUUAAGCUGACGAGUGGCGAACGGGUGAGUAAUGUAUNCGGAACGUGCCCAGUCGUGGGGGAUAACUGCUCGAAAGAGCAGCUAAUACCGCAUACGACCUGAGGGUGAAAGCGGGGGAUCGCAAGACCUCGCGCGAUUGGAGCGGCCGAUAUCAGAUUAGGUAGUUGGUGGGGUAAAGGCUCACCAAGCCAACGAUCUGUAGCUGGUCUGAGAGGACGACCAGCCACACUGGGACUGAGACACGGCCCAGACUCCUACGGGAGGCAGCAGUGGGGAAUUUUGGACAAUGGGCGCAAGCCUGAUCCAGCCACGCCGCGUGCGGGAAGAAGGCCUUCGGGUUGUAAACCGCUUUUGUCAGGGAAGAAAAGGUUCUGGCUAAUACCUGGGACUCAUGACGGUACCUGAAGAAUAAGCACCGGCUAACUACGUGCCAGCAGCCGCGGCUAAUACGUAGGGUGCAAGCGUUAAUCGGAAUUACUGGGCGUAAAGCGUGCGCAGGCGGUUAUGCAAGACAGAGGUGAAAUCCCCGGGCCCAACCUGCGAACUGCCUUUGUGACUGCAUAGCUAGAGUGCGGCAGAGGGGGGAUGGAAUCCGGGUUGUAGCAGUGAAAUGCGUAGA